ACCAGAAAUUACAGCAAUGGCAAAGAGAAUAGUACUGUACUACCCCAUGCUACAGGACCAAGGCAUCAAGAAUACAUGGGUCACUGUGUAUGCACAGCUAUACAAAAGAAUGCAGAAUGUUAGAUCUCCCCAAAAAAACACUCCAGAUGGGAAAAGUUUUAAGAGCGCUACAAAGAGGCGCCGCCUUGAGCAGCCA